UACAGAGGGUGCGAGCGUUGUCCGGAAUCACUGGGCGUAAAGGGCGCGUAGGCGGCCUGAUAAGUAGGGGGUGAAAUCCUGCGGCUCAACCGCAGGGCUGCCUUCUAAACUGUCAGGCUGGAGCACGGUAGAGGCAGAUGGAAUUCCCGGUGUAGCGGUGGAAUGCGUAGAGAUCGGGAAGAACACCAGUGGCGAAGGCGGUCUGCUGGGCCGUGCUGACGCUGAGGCGCGACAGCGUGGGAGC
rnacentral:rRNA from 1 species